rnacentral:rRNA from 1 species
CUACGGGACGCUGCAGUGGGGAAUUUUGGACAAUGGGGGCAACCCUGAUCCAGCCAUUCCGCGUGAGUGAAGAAGGCCUUCGGGUUGUAAAGCUCUUUCGGCAGGAACGAAACGGCGGGCUCUAACAUAGCCUGUCACUGACGGUACCUGAAGAAGAAGCACCGGCUAACUACGUGCCAGCAGCCGCGGUAAUACGUAGGGUGCGAGCGUUAAUCGGAAUUACUGGGCGUAAAGCGUGCGCAGGCGGUUCCAUAAGACAGAUGUGAAAUCCCCGGGCUUAACCUGGGAACUGCGUUUGUGACUGUGGGACUGGAGUGUGGCAGAGGGGGGUGGAAUUCCACGUGUAGCAGUGAAAUGCGUAGAGAUGUGGAGGAACACCGAUGGCGAAGGCAGCCCCCUGGGUCAACACUGACGCUCAUGCACGAAAGCGUGGGGAGCAAACAGGAUUAGAUACCCCUGUAGUC